CCUACGGGGUGCAGCAGUGGGGAAUAUUGGACAAUGGGCGAAAGCCUGAUCCAGCCAUGCCGCGUGUGUGAAGAAGGCCUUCGGGUUGUAAAGCACUUUCAGUGGGGAAGAAAGCCUUGGGGCUAAUACCCUCGAGGAAGGACAUCACCCACAGAAGAAGCACCGGCUAACUCCGUGCCAGCAGCCGCGGUAAUACGGAGGGUGCGAGCGUUAAUCGGAAUUACUGGGCGUAAAGCGCGCGUAGGCGGUCUGAUAAGCCGGUUGUGAAAGCCCCGGGCUCAACCUGGGAACGGCAUCCGGAACUGUCAGGCUAGAGUGCAGGAAAGGAAGGUAGAAUUCCCGGUGUAGCGGUGAAAUGCGUAGAGAUCGGGAGGAAUACCAGUGGCGAAGGCGGCCUUCUGGACUGACACUGACGCUGAGGUGCGAAAGCGUGGGUAGCAAACAGGAUUAGAUCCCCUGUAGUC
rnacentral:rRNA from 1 species